GAUUAUUGAAAGCAAAUCAGAGGAGAACCCUGCUCUGAUAAAUGUUAAGACUGCCUCAACUAAAGAAUACCUGAUUGUGUAUCAGAUUCAAGACCUGUCUGCCAGUAGAACUUGCUGGGAUUGUCAGCCAAGCAAUGAACAAAUAAAGAUGCUUGAUUGGAUUUUGGGCAAGAAUGACCCAGAAGAGAAAGUGGCUGAAGUUGGGAACAUUACUCUCCAGCGAAAGGACUUCUGGACUUUGGGUCACAAUGAAGAGCUAGAGGCAACAGUAAGUCUACACUAUAAACAAAGGUUAUGGAAAUGUUUUUGUAUGUAUGUGUAACACCAGUAUGUUACUUUUACAACUAUUCUAGAUUGCAAAUAGCUGCCUGCAAGCA